GAUGAACGCUGACAGAAUGCUUAACACAUGCAAGUCUACUUGAAGUAACUUCGGUUAUGGAUGGUGGCGGACGGGUGAGUAACGCGUAAAUAACUUGCCCCCUAGUCUGGGACAACUGUUGGAAACGACAGCUAAUACUAGAUAUUAUGAGACCUUGGCAUCAAGGACUUAUGAAAGCUAUAUGCGCUAGGGGAGAGAUUUGCGUCCUAUUAGCUAGUUGGUGAGGUAAUGGCUCACCAAGGCGACGAUAGGUAGCCGGCCUGAGAGGGUGAACGGCCACAAGGGGACUGAGACACGGCCCUUACUCCUACGGGAGGCAGCAGUGGGGAAUAUUGGACAAUGGGACCAAAAGUCUGAUCCAGCAAUUCUGUGUGCUUGAUGAAGGCCUCGGUUGUAAGAGCUUAAGUAGGGAAGAGAAGGUGACGGUA
rnacentral:rRNA from 1 species